rnacentral:rRNA from 1 species
AUGGCAUCUACUUCUUCACCAUCGUCCACGGCGAUCCAGAUACAUCUACCGACCAACGAGAGCGACGGUGAAAUAACAGCCAAUGGCACGUCACCGCCAAUGCCUGCCACUGGGCCUGCACCGGCCGUCGUCAUGUCCAGCGUCGUGAACCUGGCUCAGCUCCUGCCGACUGGUACGGUGUUGGCAUACCAGGCGUUGUCCCCGUCCUUCACCACGGCAAGUGCGAGACCUCCAACCAGUUGCUCACAAGGGUGCUGGUGGCCAUUCUCGCCCUAUUGGGCCUCUUCUUCUCCUUCACCGACAGCGUCAUCGGUCGCCGCGAUGGAAAGCUAUACUACGGCUUCGCCACACUACACUGCUUCAACGUGUUCAACUUCUCCAGCGAGGAAGAAAGGCAGGAGUGGAACAAUCUCGACCAGUUUCGGAGACUCCGCCUCAGGCCGCUGGACUUCGUGCACGCCUUCUUCGCGGCGGUGGUUUUCCUCGUGGUGGCGUUUAGCGACGUGGGGCUGCAGAACUGCUUCUUCCCGGGCGCCGGCAGGAACACCGAGGAGCUGCUCAAGAAUUUACCGACGGGGAUGGCGAUUCUAUCCGGUUUUUUGUGACAAUGCUCCUCGCCAGAAGGUCGUCCAUCCCUCAAAUUAA